UACGAAGGGGGCUAGCGUUGCUCGGAAUCACUGGGCGUAAAGGGUGCGUAGGCGGGUCUUUAAGUCAGGGGUGAAAUCCUGGAGCUCAACUCCAGAACUGCCUUUGAUACUGAGGAUCUUGAGUUCGGGAGAGGUGAGUGGGAACUGCGAGUGUAGAGGUGAAAUUCGUAGAUAUUCGCAAGAACACCAGUGGCGAAGGCGGCUCACUGGCCCGAUACUGACGCUGAGGCACGAAAGCGUGGGAGCAACAGGG
rnacentral:rRNA from 1 species